GAGUGCGCAAGCGCAGCGCACCGAGUGGACAUUUUGGUCUUUGUCCGCGGGUCAGUACGGCCCCUGGGUCCACGUGGCGCGAAAGUAGGAGUUAUAUGAUCCUCUGUUGAAGCAAGAAGACAAACUGUAUGGUGGAGAAAGAAGUGGGAAGGAUCUGCGCGGAAGAAGCCUGAGAAGAUGAUGCACAGAUAGAGAGGCACCAGGACUUGGGAGGCACGUUGAUCCAUCUCCAGGAAAGACUGAGAAAAAGAGCGUUGAAUAUAAGAAAAAAUACUUCCUCUGUUCUCAGAUCGUAUUUGUUUUAAGGCCACACCUUUUUGAAGUUUUCAGUUUGAAACACAACCUGGACUGAAAUCAUGAGGGAGGUUGUGUAGGAAAGAAUCAUCAAGGGACUUAGUUGGGAGCUUCUCUACCACAGCUUACUCCUUAUGGUAUUAACCCCCUUUAAGUGUAAAUGCCUUUGGUUUAAAACGUUUGUACCUCAUCUGUUACCAGAGUGUUCAUACUGGAGAGAAACCCUAUGAAUUUACUGCAUGUGGGGGAACUG
rnacentral:sRNA from 1 species